UAAAAGUUUUAUCCUGGCUUAUCCUUUCGAUUUUAGGUUAAUAGUACAUGCAAGAUUAAGACACGUCAAAGUAUUUAUAAAAUUAAAUAUUUAUAAAGUAAUUAUAUAGAGGAGUUGAUAAUAAUUAAAAUCGCAGUAUUUGGUGCUAAUAUAUAAAUAAAAGUUGGAAUUGGUGAUCCUAAUAUAUGCCUGGUUAAAAUUUGUGCCAGCAGCCGCGGUUAUACUGAGGGGCAGAUUGAAAGAAGAUUGGUUAAAAAUAAUUAAAUGGAAUCGUUUAACUUGGUUUAUAAAUUUGUAUUAAUAAAGGGUGAAAUCAAUUUUUUAAUGUGCAAGUGAAUAAUCCUGGUUAAAAUGAGGUUGAAGUUAUUAAGAUAAAGGUAUGAACCAGGAUUAGAUACCCUGUUACACUUUAUUUAAAGUCAAAAUACCUGGGUAUUAAACAGUUAUUGGCUUGAAACUCAAAGGAUUUGGCGGUAGCUUAGUCUAUUUAGAGGAACCUGUUCUGUAAUCGAUAAUCCACGAAAAAUCUCACUUUACCUUGUAUAAAUUCAGCUUGUAUACCGUCAUUAUUAGAUAACUUUAAUAAAAGUUCUAGUUAUUAAAAUAAAAUUCAUUUAAUAUAUUAGAUCAAGGUGCAGCUUAUGGUAAAGUAGAAAUGGGUUACAAUAAUAUAAGUGUUUAAAACGAAUUAAAAAGGGAAUUCUUUUUAUAAAGGUGGAUUUAAUAGUAAGAAAGUUUUAAUAAGGCUUUUUGAUUGUAGCUCUAAGCUAUGUACACAUCGCCCGUCGCUCUCGUUAAUUAAAGCGAGAUAAGUCGUAACAUAGUAGGUGUACUGGAAAGUGUACCUAGAAAUUC
rnacentral:ncRNA from 1 species